rnacentral:rRNA from 1 species
AAGCCUGCCGAAACUGGGCCUAAUACCGGAUAGGAGCGUCCACCGCAUGGUGGGUGUUGGAAAGAUUUAUCGGUUUUGGAUGGACUCGCGGCCUAUCAGCUUGUUGGUGAGGUAAUGGCUCACCAAGGCGACGACGGGUAGCCGGCCUGAGAGGGUGACCGGCCACACUGGGACUGAGACACGGCCCAGACUCCUACGGGAGGCAGCAGUGGGGAAUAUUGCACAAUGGGCGAAAGCCUGAUGCAGCGACGCCGCGUGAGGGAUGACGGCCUUCGGGUUGUAAACCUCUUUCAGUAGGGAAGAAGCGAAAGUGACGGUACCUGCAGAAUAACACCGGCUAACUACGUGCCAGCAGCCGCGGUAAUACGUAGGGUGCGAGCGUUAUCCGGAAUUAUUGGGCGUAAAGAGCUCGUACGCGGUUUGUCGCGUCUGUCGGGAAAGUCCGGGGCUUAACCCCGGAUCUGCGGUGGGUACGGGCAGACUACAGUGCAGUAGGGGAGACUGGAAUUCCUGGUGUAGCGGUGGAAUGCGCAGAUAUCAGGAGGAACACCGAUGGCGAAGGCAGGUCUCUGGGCUGUAACUGACGCUGAGGAGCGAAAGCAUGGGGAGCGAACAGGAUU